rnacentral:rRNA from 1 species
CCUACGGGUGGCAGCAGUGAGGAAUAUUGGUCAAUGGGCGCGAGCCUGAACCAGCCAAGUAGCGUGAAGGAUGACUGCCCUACGGGUUGUAAACUUCUUUUAUAUAGGAAUAAAGUGAGGCACGUGUGCCUUUUUGUAUGUACUUUAUGAAUAAGGAUCGGCUAACUCCGUGCCAGCAGCCGCGGUAAUACGGAGGAUCCGAGCGUUAUCCGGAUUUAUUGGGUUUAAAGGGAGCGUAGAUGGGUUGUUAAGUCAGUUGUGAAAGUUUGCGGCUCAACCGUAAAAUUGCAGUUGAAACUGGCAGCCUUGAGUACAGUAGAGGUAGGCGGAAUUCGUGGUGUAGCGGUGAAAUGCUUAGAUAUCACGAAGAACUCCGAUUGCGAAGGCAGCUUACUAGACUGCCACUGACAUUGAGGCUCGAAAGUGUGGGUAUCAAACAGGAUUAGAUACCCUAGUAGUC